rnacentral:tRNA from 2 species
GGAGAGUUGGCAGAGUGGUUGAAUGCGGCGGUCUUGAAAACCGUUAUAGGUGCAAGCCUAUCCGGGGUUCGAAUCCCUGACUCUCCG